AUCGCUUCUCAGUCUUUUGGCUAAGAUCAUGUAUAGUAUCUGUUCUUAUUAGUUUAGUAUCCGAUACGCCCUCUAUCCAAGGACCAUAUAUUAUAUGGAUUUUUGGAGCUUGGAGUUGCAAUAGGAGCUUGUUUGUCCACUUCACACAUCGACAUAAUAUUUUAAUACUUUCAGGAACAGUACUAAAACU